UACAGAGGGUGCAAGCGUUGUUCGGAAUUACUGGGCGUAAAGCGCGUGUAGGUGGCGAGAUAAGUCGGGUGUGAAAUCUCGGAGCUUAACUCCGAAACUGCAUUCGAUACUGCCGUGCUUGAGGACUGGAGAGGAGACUGGAAUUUACGGUGUAGCGGUGAAAUGCGUAGAUAUCGUAAGGAAGACCAGUGGCGAAGGCGGGUCUCUGGACAGUUCCUGACGCUGAGGCACGAAGGUCAGGGGAGCAAACGGG
rnacentral:rRNA from 1 species